AGUAAGUAUGUUGCGAAUUAUAAAGUAUGUUUGGUCUCAUUUUAAUCAGAAAAAUUUCAGGAAUAUGAUGGUAAAAGUUUCACAACAAAACAGUUAAUAAUAAAAAAGUUUCAUCGUUGCAUUACAUUGUCUCACCGACAUACCCAGAUGUUCUAUCUCCGUCCUCUUCCUUUAUUCGCUGUCCUCCUCUACGUUCGAAGCUUGUCGGCAACUAUUAUGACAAUACCACUGUUGUAAUUAAAACGUAAGUAUAAUACUUUUGUAUUAUAUUACUUUAUAUUAUAUUUUCUAUUUUUUUUUUUAUUUAAUUUUGUUUUUCAGGCACGGCUGGCGGAGAUUUAAUAUUCUUUAUAUAUUGUUUAUCAUUUCGAAUGUUCCUGUAUGAAAUUUAAUUAAUUAUUGAAAGGGUGAAAACAGCACCUAACGUGCGGGUAAAACCCAUAUUUUUUUAAAUGAUUUGAAAACUAGGACAAACAACGGCAGCUAACAACUGACCGGGAGUGGUGACUCCUUACCAUAGCACCGAGAGCCCAUGCUACUCGGGAGAGGUAAGAACCGGGCGUAGACGGGGCAACUCGUAACGCGACCGGAAGGCUGUCUGCGAGAUCAUAAGCGCCCGAAUGCAACGCAUCGUUUGAUCUUGUCGAAUCUUAUUGUUAGAUGGGUUUACUAAUUGCCGCGACGAGUCGGCGAACUGUUCGCGUGUGGAUAUCGGUCAAGAGAGUAAAGCCGAAAAAGUCCCUCGUGGGGCCUUUUGUGCUAAAGUUCCGAUAGCUUGCAUUUAGGGAAGAAAUAUCAAACGACACCGUCAAAGUGCAGAUCGCGCCCGUUCGACGGCGAAUGCCGAGUGAUCAUCGACGAGCAGGCUUUGUGUCUGGACGCGGAGCCGCGAGUCGGACGCGAAAAGAAGAAACCGCGCGACAAUAACCCGAAGGAGGACACGUGCCGCAAGCACGUGCCAAAUUCUCGAAGGUUCGAUGGAGUUUUGGUAGGAAACUCAGGAGGGGAUGGAUAUUAUAAAGCGGCAUCAAAUCAGUCGUCAGUCAGAUAUAAUCGUGAAACCGUCGAAGAAUAAUAUAUUAGUAGUACAGCAGUAAAUACCGAGCAGAAAAUGGCCCAAAGCAAUGAUAAGUAUAAUUCCAACUUCAGUGGAAAAUAAAUAUACUGCAUAAUUGAAACACAUUCAUGUAAUAUAUAUCCUAUAUAUCUUUUUUCUCUUUCAGAAGAAAAUAUGUGCUUGAAUUUAGAGGAACAAAUGUACAAAAAGAUGGAGGAAAUGCAAAUAUGUAUGCAGCAGAGGGAGGAGCACAGCAGCAGCAACAGCAGCGGCAACAGGAGCAGGUGCUGCUGGCUCUGCAGCAGUUGCAAGCACAGCAAAUAGACUUCCAACGGCGAUUCCAGACACAGCAGCAGCAGCCGCAACAGCAACAAAGAAAAGCUGAAAAUAUGGUCGUGAAAAAUAUGGAACUCCUGCGCCGCAUAGUUCCGGGUUAGGUCGCCAGAGUAGCGCCCCGAUCACGCUACCGCGUGAAGCGCUGCACCCCCGCCACGAGAACUACCCCCGUCGCGCGCCGCUAACAAACUUGAAGCCAGCAGGAUUACUCCAGACACCAGUAUUGCAACAACGAUUUGAAGUAGUUGCAAUGGACCUAUUCGGACCUCUCCCACCAGGACCUCAAAAUGAAAAAUGGGUUUUCAUUGUGGAAGAUUAUGCUACAAGAUGGACGGCGUUAUUCGCAUUGGACAACGCGACAAAAGAAAAUUGUGCGUAGACUUUAGUCAACGAAAUUUUUCUCCGAUUUGGUGUUCCACGGCGCUUGAUCAGCGAUAAUAGGACACAAUUCAUAAGCAGUAUGAUACAGCAGAUCACGUAUUGUUUAAAUAUCGAUCACAAGUUCACACCUGUAUACCAUCCAAGUGCUAACCCAGUAGAACGAAGGAAUAGGAAACUCAAGACACAACUCUCUAUAUUGCUGGGAAAUAUAGAGAGCAUAAGCAAUGGCCCUCCAAACUUCCAGCAAUUCGUUUUGCUAUCAACACGACAAUAUGUCAAGGUACUGCCUUUACCCCGGCGGAUCUAAUGGUCGCCAGGGAACUCAGAGCCCCAGCGGAAAAUACAAGUGAUUUACGUCAGAUAAUCAAUAACGAGAACUUCAUACCGGAAGUAACACUAAGAUUACUUCAAAUGACGGAAGUACUGGACAAGGCACGAGAAACCCAUGAACAGGAACAAGAUCAGAGAAAACUUAAUGCAGAUGCUAAACGACGCCCUGCACCUACUUACAACCCAGGAGAGAAGGUUUGGGUUACCUCUCAUGCCCAAUAAAAAGAAACAGUUUAUAUAAUUUUCCAAAUUUAUUUCAUUUCCUUCAAACUAAUCCCCAUUAGUUGAAUCCCUAAUAGAUGAUAGGCAUUAGUCAAUUGAAUUUCAUUUUAAUAUUUAAAAAUGAAUGAUGUUUAUUCUAGAUUUAGAAAAAAAAAAUAUUUUUGUAAUAUUAAAUAAAUUAAAUUAAAUAAAUAAA